GGUUUGAUUAUGGCUCAGAUUGAACGCUGGCGGGAUGCUUUACACAUACGGCAGUCGAACGGCAGCACGGACUUCGGUCUGGUGGCGAGUGGCGAACAGGUAGAUAAUGUAUCGGAACGUGCCUGGUAGCGGGGAUAGCUUUGCGGCGGCAGCUAAUACCGCACUCUACCACGCCCUUCGGGGGAAAGCGGGGGACAGCGGGCCUCGCACUAUUGAAACGAAGAAGCCGAUAUCGAGUUAGCUAGUUGGUGGGGUAACGGCUCGCCAAAGCGACGAUCCGUGUAGCUAGUUUGAGAGGACGACCAGCCACACUGGGACUGAGACACGGCCCAGACUCCUACGGGAGGCAGCAGUGAGGUACGGACAAUGCAGAAACCCUGAUCCAGCCAUCCGCGUGUGCGAUGAAGGCCUUCGGGUUGUCAACACUUUUGGCAGGAAAGAAACGGCACGGGAUAAUACCCAUUACCUUUGGCGGUACCUGCAGAAUAAGCGCAAACAACUACGUGCCAGCGACCGCGGUAAUACGUAAGGGUGCAAGCGUUAAUCGGAAUUACUGGGUAACGUGCGCAGAGCGGUUCGGAAAGAAAGAUGUGAAAUCAGAGCUUAACUUUGGAACUGCAUUUUUAACUACCGAGCUAGAGUGUGUCAGAAGGUGGAAUUCCGCGUGCUGCUUGGUGAAAUACGUGAAUGUGCGGAGGAACACCGAUGGCGAAGGCAGCCUCCUGGGAUCUGCAGGUAUCAUGCACCGAAAGCGUGAACCGUGGGAUUAGAUACCCUGAAAGUCCACGCCCUAAACGAUGUCAACUAGCUGUUGGGGCCUUCGGGCCUUGGUAGCGCAACUAACGCGUAGGGGACGAACCCGCCUGGGAAGUACGGUCGCAGAUUAAAACUCAAAUUGACGGGGACCACAAGCGGUGGAUGAUGUGGAUUAAUUCGAUGCAACGCGAAAAAUGCCCUACCCUUGACAUGUCUGGAUCCGAAAGAUUUGAGUGCUCUAUACAAGAGAACCAGGAACACUAGGUGCUGCAUGGCUGUCGUCAAUGUGUCGUGAGAUGUUGGGUUAAGUCCCACCAACGAGCGCAACCCUUGUCAUUAACUGGUGCUACGAAGGGCACUCAGGACUGCCGGUGACAAACCGGAGGAAGGUGAGGAUGACGUCGGUCCUCAUGGCCCUUAUGGGUAGGGCUUCACACGUCAUAAUGGGUGGGACGGUCGCCAGCUGAAGGCAAUCCCGACCAGAUCGUAGUCCGGAUCGCAGUCUGCAACUCGACUGCGUGAAGUCGGAAUCGCUAUUAAUCGCGGAUCAGCAUGUCGCGGUGAAUACGUUCCAGGUCUUCCCUGCGCCUAAUCACACCAUAGAAUUAGGUUUUACCGUGGAUGACCUAACCGUAAGGAGGGCGAUUACCACGAUAGGAUUCAUGACUGAGAUUGAGAAUCGUAACAAGGUAACUCUGUUACUGCCUGAUGUCCCAAGGGCAAUGGCGUACGUAACGGUAUACUUCGUUUCAGUUGCAGCGUACUCUUACUACGUUGAUGAACCUCCUCCAGAUUUUACUGUGGUACGACAAAGAUCUGAGCCAUGAUCAAUAGUGGUUACCUUGUUACGGCUGCAAAAGACCGCUGAUCAAACUAGGUUACCUUGUUCCUGACUUGGUUACCUUGUUACGACUUGGUUACCCUGUUACGACUUACUGAGCCAUGAUCAAACUGGGUUGCCUUGUUACGACUUGGUUUACCUUGUUACGACUUGGUUACCUUGUUACGACUUGGUUACCUUGUUGCGACUUACUGAGCCAGAAUCCGACC
rnacentral:rRNA from 1 species